UGACACACGCACCGACAAGUCAAGCACUUGACUACACCCAGCAGCCUUCCGUCACUGAAUUAGAAAUUUAGAUAGUCCAGUGCCUAAGUGCAGUGAGUUGCUUGCAAGUCACCGUGGCGGUCUCAGAUCGAAGGGACAUUUAUACCCAUAUCCCAUCAGAGCAAAUCUUGACAGGAGAUAAAGCUCCGGAGUCGGUCACGUUCAGUGCAGAUGUACCCUUACAUCUCACCUGUAUGCCAUACCAGUGUCUCACACUCCUUGGUUAAGAGGACAAUCAACCUAUAUGGCACACAACGACCUAUGCUUGAUAAAUAUUAUUAUUGUUGCCCAGCUAUGCAACCCAAGAGGGGGGGUGAAUUGGGUUUCUAAAAAUUUUAAGCCCAACAGAUAACUUAUGAAGAACAAAACAAAGGCUUAAAACAAUAUUAAUUACUUAAAACAGUAUUGCAAGGAUAUAAUAAAGAAAUAAGAUAAAGCGAUAAAGCACACCACAAACACAAGGAUUUAUAGUGGUUCGGUGCUAACCUUACACCUACAUC
rnacentral:lncRNA from 1 species